ensembl:lncRNA
AAAAGUUUUGGAAAAGUCAUGGAUAUUUGUUAUAUUUCCAUUUCAUGUGGUUCAUUUAGGAGAGGUUUUUUAAUGAUAAAUAUGAGUAUAAAAUAUAAGCAGGAUGCUCUCAUACUCGCAGCAAAAACAAUUCGCACAGCGGUUGUGUGAACGCACCUUAACUGAAAAGUGUGGCGGCCAUAAAAACAGUAGCUCAGGAAAAAUCAGUGGACAAAAAAUAUUUUCGGGAUGAAUAUAGUUUUGACUCAGCUCUAUAACUAUUUUCAAUCUUCACUUCACUAUAUAUAUUUUGAUAUUCACUGCAUUAUAUUUUUCGCAGGUUUGUUUUAUUCACCCCGCGCUAAAAAUCAAAUCGGACUUCGGUCCGAGCCGCUGUUUCUCUCCACCCUCCCCGUCGGCCGUACGGUCCCCACUGACACAUGUCACUCCAAAGUGUUUUGAAAAGUUGAGAGCUCUGCAUUAGAGAUAAUCUGAGAUAUGAACCGUAAAAGAGCAAAAUACAUGAAAUAUAUCAAAAGAGAAUAUCUGGGAUGUGAUAUAAAACCAAAGAGUGUGUGUGCUGUGUAUCAGUUGCAUUGUGUAUCUGAAGCCGUGUGUGUGUGUGUGUGUGUGUGUAUCUGUUAUCAGUCUCCCAUGUUUUCCCUUCACACUCACUUCCUCUUUCACAAUAAAAGCCUCCUUGGAGGGGGGGUUUCUCUGCAUGUUUCCAGAGUAAAAGGACACGGGACGUCCCGUGCUCAGUAUGAUGGGCUCAUGGGUGUGAGGGACAGCUGGCCUGCCCACUACCGGGGGGCUCAGAAGUCACUGGGCCGCCAGUUGAGGGUUGGUGGAUGAAUCAUGGCUCUCUGGGGAGGGAGAGGAACCAGCAGGACCUGAGGGAUUGGAUUAGUUUAAUCUGGGUGUGGCGGCAAAGAGCAGCAGUUGGAAGUUUUCACUCUAUAGAGACGUGUUGAUCGGGUUAGUCUGGUCCCGGUAAUACUGUGUAUGUGUACUUAUACCACUAUCUACAUUGUAGCUUAAAGCACCACAAGGUAUCUGAUCACCUUUAGUCUACGUGUCUAUAGGAUCAUCUAGGUAUCGACCUCUGACCUCACUGUAAAUUGCUCCUAAUGAGAGCUGUGCUAACCCGGACCCACAAGGUCACUAUUCAGCAGGCCAACAGGGUCUCUUUGCUUGUCCCAGGGGACCUCAGGGGACAGCUUUGAUGUGCACCCCCUUCAGUGUGUCCUCAGUGUGGACUAGUGUGUCCUCAGUGUGUACUAGUGUGUCCUCAGUGUGGCUGCAACAACGAAUCGAUGACACCGAUCAAAUUCGAUUAUAAAGCGUUGGCGAAACGAAUUUCAUUAUCGACUCGUGUCGCGCGAUUAUCACGUCACUCAAUGAGUUGCGGAGAUGCGCGCGGAGCAAACAUAUAAAAUAAAAGCGCGAGCCGACGCAGAGGAAAGAGCAGCCAGCAGCGCCGGUUGUUGUUGUGAGUCACAUGACGUCUGUUGGACUAGUCGUCCAAUGUGUGCGAGCGUUGGGGG